rnacentral:lncRNA from 1 species
AAUCAGAGAAAGUAUGCUUGUAUAAAUUUCAUUUUUUUGCCCCUUUAAAAAAGUUCCUUAUUUCAAAACAAACUUAUUUACUUAUAAUUAAACUUGGAAGCGAAUUUUUUAGACUUAGACAAACAUAUAUUUUGAACAAAACCAAAAAUGACACUGAGUAUAAGAUGAAUGAACACAAACUAAAAAUGCAUACCACCAAAAUGAGCAGUGUGAUAACGGCAAGCUCGGGGGUGAUUGAGAACAGGAUCGAACUGCGUCUUGCAAUUCUUGCAAGUUCUGAGUAUUGGGCCUUGGUUUUCUGAGCACUGAAUUGAUAAAUUUGUUGCACGAUUUUUCACCAGACUCGGGCUCGGUGGCAGACGGUACAAGGGAUGAUUUUGAAGACUUUUUCUUGGAUUUUGAUGACUGAGAGAUAAAUGUGCAAUAUAUAUUAAUGAAUUCAAAUGUGUUCCAACUGACAUUUUGCUGGCUAAAAAGAAAAUAGGGAUUUCUUCCAGAGAAUUGGGGAAAAUUUUUGGGAUGGACCAACUUUAAACACCACGCAGUGAAAGGGAAAAUAUUCACUUUUACCUUUAACCCUUGCGGCAAUUUCGUCCCAUUUCUUUUUGUGAUGCCAUGCGUGGUGUCAAUCCCUCAGGCUCAAGUGGG